rnacentral:lncRNA from 1 species
GUGCUAACACAAAAGGCAGGAAAUAUGAGAUGUCGCCGUGACGCCACCAUGGCUACCUAGCCCCUCGCACCGCCAGGCUGCUGGAUGAGGAAAAACACCAGUUUGAACUGAGAUGAACACAUGAGUAUAGGAGAAAUUUCCUCUUCAGGGCAAGUGGGGACAGACACGAACAGAGGCCUUCCAAACAGGGUCAGCUGAGAGAUGGAGUGCAGUGCCCUUGCGAGGCCCCUCAGAGAAGUACUCCUCCACCCCACCCAUCAGCAAAUCAAAAUCCCAUAAAGACCAGGGCAAAAGGAGGCCCCAGAGUAUUCUCUGUCUUUCUCUCCAUCUGUGUGCCUCUCUCCAGUAUUGGGAGAUAGAAUCCAGGGCUUCAUUCAUGCUAAUAAACAAGCACUCUACCACUGAACUACAUCCCCAGCCUU